rnacentral:rRNA from 1 species
UACGGAGGAGGCAAGCGUUAUCCGGAAUUAUUGGGCGUAAAGCGUCCGCAGGUGGCACUUCAAGUCUGUCGUCAAAGACCGGGGCUUAACUUCGGAAAGGCAGUGGAAACUGAACAGCUAGAGUAUGGUAGGGGCAGAGGGAAUUCCUGGUGUAGCGGUGAAAUGCGUAGAUAUCAGGAAGAACAUCGGUGGCGAAGGCGCUCUGCUGGACCAUAACUGACACUCAGGGACGAAAGCUAGGGGAGCGAAUGGG